rnacentral:lncRNA from 1 species
ACAUGCAAGUAAGCUCCUUGGAGAUUUAUGUUCAAUAUCUUUGUCUUCGGAGUACUUGUUACUAGACUAGUUUCAUCUUCCUCGGUUAAAUCGCAUGGUUUACCACCCUCAUGGUCAUGAUGUUCGUGGUGGUGGUGGUGGUCAUGCAGGUGUUCGUGGUGGUGGUGGUGGUCAUGCAGGUGUUCGUGGUGGUGGUGGUGGUCAUGCAGGUGUUCGUGGUGGUGGUGGUGGUCAUGCAAGUGUACGUGGUGGUGGUGGUGGUGAUUGUUUCCGAAAACAUGGUGACUGUGAUCAUGACCCAGCCAAAGGACUAUAAUCAAGUUGAUAAAAAAUCCAAAUGCAGCAAUAGCAAACAUGAG